GACCUGUCCAGGGUGUUGAACCGUGCCCACGCCCAAUUACAGCUGGAGAUAGGCACCAGCACCCCUCGUGACCCCAGCAGGGAUAAGCAUGAUGGAAAAUGGAUGGAUCAUGGCGCCUAUGACGGGCUUGAUUGUUCAUUCCACUCACCUGCCUAGCUCUUUGACAUCGGCUCUGGUUUCAUCCUCUGGAUUGUCCUACCUUCCUUUGUCUGCUUGAAACUGAUCUCCUGUCAGAGGUUCCUGCCUUAGACACCCUAGCUGCCUCCAUCAAUAUAAAUAAAUAAGUAUUUUUUGAGUAAUCUUAUUGUCUGUCUUGCCCUGAGUACUGGGUCCUCUGUUCCGAGCUUUGACAAUUAAAGCUCUGGGAACUGGGUGCGUGCAGGUGGCGCAGUGGUUAGUGCGCACAACCUAUGUAUGCAGGCGUUAGUCUUCGAUGCGGCCAACCUGUGGUCCUUUGCCACAUGUCUCAUACCCUCUCUCAUACCCUCAUUUCCUGUCAAACUAGUGUCCAAAAAACAAGCCACUAGUGCCGUAAAAAAAGCACUGUGAAUAGCACACCAUUCAUGUUCUUCUUGUUACUAAAAGAAAGAAAAAGAAAUACUCUUCUUUCUC